rnacentral:rRNA from 1 species
AAUGAACGCUGGCGGCAGGCCUAACACAUGCAAGUCGAACGGGUCCUUCGGGACUAGUGGCGGACGGGUGAGUAACGCGUGGGGACAUGCCCUUUGGUACGGAAUAGCCUCGGGAAACUGGGAGUAAUACCGUAUGUGGUCGAGAGACGAAAGAUUUAUCGCCAAAGGAUUGGCCCGCGUUGGAUUAGGUAGUUGGUGGGGUAAUGGCCUACCAAGCCGACGAUCCACAGCUGGUUUGAGAGGAUGAUCAGCCACACUGGGACUGAGACACGGCCCAGACUCCUACGGGAGGCAGCAGUGGGGAAUCUUAGACAAUGGGGGAAACCCUGAUCUAGCCAUGCCGCGUGAUCGAUGAAGGCCUUAGGGUUGUAAAGAUCUUUCAGGUGGGAAGAUAAUGACUGUACCACCAGAAGAAGCCCCGGCUAACUCCGUGCCAGCAGCCGCCGUAAGAC